rnacentral:rRNA from 1 species
GACGAACGCUGGCGGCGUGCCUAAUACAUGCCAGUAGAACGCACAGUUUAUACCGUAGCUUGCUACACCAUAAACUGUGAGUUGCGAACGGGUGAGUAACGCGUAGGUAACCUGCCUGGUAGCGGGGGAUAACUAUUGGAAACGAUAGCUAAUACCGCAUAAUAUUGAUUAUUGCAUGAUAAUUGAUUGAAAGAUGCUAUUGCAUCACUACCAGAUGGACCUGCGUUGUAUUAGCUAGUAGGUGAGGUAACGGCUCACCUAGGCGACGAUACAUAGCCGACCUGAGAGGGUGGUCGGCCACACUGGGACUGGGAAACGGCCCAGACUCCUACGGGAGGCAGCAGUAGGGAAUCUUCGGCAAUGGACGAAAGUCUGGCCGAGGAACGCCGGGUGAGGGAAGGAGGUUUUCGGAUCGUAAAGCUCUGUUGUAAGAGAAGAACGGGUGUGAGAGUGGAAAGUUCACGCUGUGACGGUAUCUUACCAGAAAGGGACGGCUAACUACGUG